UACGUAGGCAGCAAGCGUUGUUCGGAAUUACUGGGCGUAAAGAGUGUGUAGGCGGUGCUCUAAGUCUGUCGUGAAAUCUCCCGGCUUAACUGGGAGGGUGCGGCGGAUACUGGUGUGCUCGAGGGUGGGAGAGGAAAGCGGAAUUCCCGGUGUAGCGGUGAAAUGCGUAGAUAUUGGGAGGAACACCAGUGGCGAAGGCGGCUACCCUGGACCGGUUCUGACGCUGAUAGCGCGGAAAGCGUGGGUAGCAAACGAGG
rnacentral:rRNA from 1 species